rnacentral:rRNA from 1 species
AUUGAACGCUGGCGGCAGGCUUAACACAUGCAAGUCGAGCGGGGUGAUGGUGCUUGCACUAUCACUUAGCGGCGGACGGGUGAGUAAUGCUUAGGAAUCUGCCUAUUAGUGGGGGACAACAUCUCGAAAGGGAUGCUAAUACCGCAUACGUCCUACGGGAGAAAGCAGGGGAUCACUUGUGACCUUGCGCUAAUAGAUGAGCCUAAGUCGGAUUAGCUAGUUGGUGGGGUAAAGGCCUACCAAGGCGACGAUCUGUAGCGGGUCUGAGAGGAUGAUCCGCCACACUGGGACUGAGACACGGCCCAGACUCCUACGGGAGGCAGAAGUGGGGAAUAUUGGACGAUGGGGGGAACCCUGAUCCAGCCAUGCCGCGUGUGUGAAGAAGGCCUUAUGGUUGUAAAGCACUUUAAGCGAGGAGGAGGCUCUUUUGGUUAAUACCCAAGAUGAGUGGACGUUACUCGCAGAAUAAGCACCGGCUAACUCUGUGCCAGCCGCCGCAGUAA